rnacentral:rRNA from 1 species
GUGGGGAAUAUUGGACAAUGGGCGAAAGCCUGAUCCAGCCAUGCCGCGUGUGUGAAGAAGGUCUUCGGAUUGUAAAGCACUUUAAGUUGGGAGGAAGGGCAGUAAGUUAAUACCUUGCUGUUUUGACGUUACCGACAGAAUAAGCACCGGCUAACUGCGUGCCAGCAGCCGCGGUAAUACGAAGGGUGCAAGCGUUAAUCGGAAUUACUGGGCGUAAAGCGCGCGUAGGUGGUUUUGUAAGUUGGAGGUGAAAUCCCCGGGCUCAACCUGGGAACUGCCUCCAAAACUGCAUGACUAGAGUACGGUAGAGGGUAGUGGAAUUUCCUGUGUAGCGGUGAAAUGCGUAGAUAUAGGAAGGAACACCAGUGGCGAAGGCGACUACCUGGACUGAUACUGACACUGAGGUGCGAAAGCGUGGGGAGCAAACAGGAUUAGAUACCCUUGUAGUCC